UGACUGCUAGACAAGAGCUGCACAAGAUCCGGUUUGUCAACAUUCCCUCGUGGAUGAAGGAGAGGCUCAAGAGACUUCAGCCCUCCCUGAUGAUUUGUGGGCAGCUAGGAUCACUAGAGAAGAUGGACUCCAGAGACUCCACAGCUCCCUGAAAACUACUGGCAGCUAAUGGCCCCAGGGGAAGGGAGAAACAUUUUCUUCUGUGCCGUAGUCCCUGAUCCCCUCUUCUAUCUCCAUGAACUGAGUGCUCUGGGAAUUUCAGAUACAACCCUGUGCUUUUUAAAUCUAGACCUAGGCAUUCUUUCAAGGCUCAUCUAUAGUGUGUGUCUGGAUUCCAGUCCUGUUUAACAGGCUUAAUAAAUGUGUGCUGUGACAUGAGAGGGAUGAAGCCGAACCUCUGAACCCAGGUCUGUUCCUGCUCCACGUGUGUGCUGCCACCCAUGUCCUUCGUCUCCUCUGCCAACACCACCGCUGCCGGGGGAGUGCAGGUGGAAACCAUCUCUCCUGGAGACAGGCAGCGCUUUCCCGACGCGCAGCCAGACCUGUGUGAUGCGCUAUGUGGGGAUUCAUGAAGAUGGAAAGAAAUUUGACUCCUCUCCGGACAGAAACAAGCCUUUUACGUUUACAUUAGGCAAGCAAGUGGUAAUCCGAGACUGGGAAGAAGGGCUAGCCCAGAUGAGUGUGGGUCAGAGAGCCAAACUGAUAAUCUUCGCAGACUAUGCCUAUGGAGCCACGGGGCACCCAGGCAUCAUCCCACCAGAUGCCACUCUUGUUUUUGAUGUGGAGCAUCUAAAACUGGAAUGACAGAAGUGGCCUCCUCCCUUAGCUCUGGACGUGGAUCUGCCAUGGGGGAAUCUGGUACCUCCAGAUGGGUGCACAUGAUCCAUGGGGAGCUUUUCCUGACGUCCCACCACCCUUUGUAUAGACACCUACCCGACUGAAUGUGUUCCGUCACUCAGCUUUGCUUAGGACAUCUCCAUGUCCUUCUCCCCCUUCUGUAUGUGUGUUGACCAAAACUAUAUGCCAUAAACCUCAAGUUACUUUAUUUUGGGAUGAAGACUGUUUCUGUCUUUCAGAUCUAAGUUUCCAAUGAAGUGUAUUGUCAGGUGUCACCAGCACGAGCCAUGGGUUAACUUUAGAAUAGGAAUUGGUAUUGAGGGGAGGAUUUGCAAAAUUUUUUAUUUUAUUUUAUUUUAUUUUAUUGGAUGAAAAUGUUAUCUAUUAUAUAUUAAGACAUUCUGCUGCUGUGCUGCAAAGCCAUAGCAGAUUCGAGCCGCUGUUGAGGGCUGGAUUUUUCUCCAGUGAGGGAGGGCCUGUUAAACUGAAAGUUCUACACAGACUGAAGUGGGAAGGGAGGGAGAGAGCCCUUGCUUCUGACAGCCUCCCACCUUCUGAAACAUGCUGCCUUUUAAAGCAGGUCCCUUCACUGCUGUGUUGGACACUAGAGUAUCUGUCCCUGGGUCGGCAGGGACCUCUGAAGCCUUCUUUGUGACCUGGCUUAAUUUGUUUUUCAUCCUAUGGUUUUUCUAAUGGAUUUUCUGGACUUUUGUAAUCCUGUAACUAUCCAAGCUCCACUUCCUAAAUUUUAAGAACUUUGGAGGAAAGUUUAAAUUGAAGGUGCUGUUUGUAGACUCACCACCCAUUGGAUGCCCAGCCACCACGACAAAUCCUUGAGUGUUCUCUAAGAAAAUGAUGCUGCUCAUCACAGCUUCAGCAUUUCCUGGUUUUGAUGCUUGGCUCUCUGCUGAUCUUGGCUUCCUGGCUUUUCCUCCUUCAGUUCCUUCUCACCCUCUGCUGUCCUUGUGUAGUGAUUUGGUGAGAGAAAGCUUUUGUCUCCUGCACUCUUCACUAAUAUGCAGUUCAAGUUUUAUUAUUGCAAUAAAAGUGCUUUAUGCUGG